rnacentral:rRNA from 1 species
GAUGAACGCUGGCGGCGUGCCUAAUACAUGCAAGUCGAGCGAAUGGAUUAAGAGCUUGCUCUUAUGAAGUUAGCGGCGGACGGGUGAGUAACACGUGGGUAACCUGCCCAUAAGACUGGGAUAACUCCGGGAAACCGGGGCUAAUACCGGAUAACAUUUUGAACCGCAAGGUUCGAAAUUGAAAGGCGGCUUCGGCUGGCACUUAUGGAUGGACCCGCAUCGCAUUAGCUAGGUGGUGAGGUAACGGCUCACCAAGGCAACGAUGCGUAGCCGACCUGAGAGGGUGAUCGGCCACACUGGGACUGAGACACGACCCAGACUACUACGGGAGGCAGCAGUAGGGAAUCUUCCGCAAUGGACGAAAGUCUGACGGAGCAACGCCGCGUGAGUGAUGAAGGCUUUCGGGUCGUAAAACUCUGUUGUUAGGGAAGAACAAGUGCUAGUUGAAUAAGCUGGCACCUUGACGGUACCUAACCAGAAAGCCACGGCUAACUACGUGCCAGCCGCCGCGGUAA